AUGGCAUGGUGGCUGGAUUCCAAGGCACAUGUCCCAAGUAAACAAGGUAGAAAUACAUUCAUAAUCUAGCCUCAGAAGUCACAUAACAUGACUCAGGCUGGGUUCUGUUGGUCAGAUAAUUUACUACAGGUUCUGAGAUUCAAGGUGAGUGGGCAUACCCUCUUACUCUUGGUGGGGAGUGCAAAAUUCUAGAUCAUCUAGGAUGGGAAACAUUGUGGUCAUCUUUGGAGAAUAUAGUAUGUUGUGUCUUAGUCCAUUUGGGCUGCUAUAACAAACUGCCAUGGAUUGUGUGGCAUAUUUACAGUAGAAAUUUAUUUCUCACAGUUCUGGAGCUGGCUAAUUCCAAGAUCAGGAUUGGGAGAGGACCCACUUCCCUGGUUCACGGACAGCCAUCUCCUCACUGUAACUUCGUGUGUGGCAGGGUGAGGGAGCAUUCUAAGGCCUCUUUUAUAAAAGUGCUAAUCCCUUAUGAGGGUUCUGCUUUCAUGACCUAAUCACCUCCAAAGGUCCCAUUUCUAAAUACCCUCACAUGGAGGAUUAGGCCUCAAGACAUGACAGGGUCAGGGGGUGGAUGUAAACAUUCAGUUUGGAGUUCCUGUCGUGGCUCAGUGGUUAAUGAAUCCAACUAGGAACCAUGAGGUUGUGGGUUCGAUCCCCGGCCUUGCUCAGUGGGUUAAGGAUCUGGCGUUGCCGUGAGCUGUGGUGUAGGUCACAGACACAGCUUGGAUCCCAUGUUGCCGUGGCUGUGGUGUAGGCUGGUGGCUACAGUUCCGAUUAGACCCCUAGGCUGGGAACUUCCAUAUGCCACUGGUGUGGCCCUAGAAAAGACAAAAAACAAAAACAAAAACAUUGUUUAUAGCAUGCUGCACUAACGUUUUGUUUUCUAGGAACAUUCCAUUUAAUAGUUUUUCUUGUUACAUUCACUAAUGCAUUCCCAAGCCACCCAUUGAAGCUGUUAGUUUUUUUCUCAGUACCUUGGAACACUUGGGGUAAUUGCUUCCUCCCACUUUUUUUUUUUUUUUUUUUUUUUUUUUUUGUCUUUUUUCCAUUUCUCUGGCUGCUCCCGCGGCAUAUUGAGGUUCCCAGGCUAGGGGUCAAAUGGGGGCUGUAGCUGCCGGCCUACAAUCAAGCCACAGCAACUCCGGACCCAAGCUGCGUCUGCAACCUACACCAGAGCAACGCCAGAUCCUUAACUCAUUGAGCAAGGCCAGGGAUCAAACCCAUAACCUCAUGUUUCCUAGUUGGAUUCGCUAACCACUGAGCCAUGAUGGGAACUCCCUCCCACUCUUUUUGAGGCCUUCAUGCCAGUGCCUUCAGUCCUCUUUGCCAGUGUAGACUGGUUGCUCUGUAUACCUGUUACACAGCUGUUGUUCCAAGUUCUUGCUUCUCCAUCAUUCUGGGAAUUCUGUUCACUUAUUUUUGCACUGAAUCCCUCAUUUUCUGGACCCAGUGCUUCCGAUUGUUGCUUUAUUCUCCCGUUUUGGUGACGUAUAUCACUCAGAAGUCUCCUGAGAAAGGGUGUAUUGUGGGAUGUAUGUGGCCCCCAAGCUUAUGUGUACAGCCUAAGCCUCAGAAUCAGUGAAUAUUUCCUGAUUUGGAAAAAAAAAAAUGGGUCUUGGCACAUAUGACUAAGUUACAGAUCUAAGAUGAGGUUAUCCUUAACUUUCUAGGUCCAAAGUCAAGUGAGAAAUGUUCUUCUCAAAGACAGAAGAGGAGAAAAAAAUGUUCUUCUCAAAGACAGAAGAGGAGAAGACAAAGGAACAGAGAAGAGGACCUUGUGAAGAUGGAGGAAGAAACUGGAGAGAUGCAGCCAGAAGGAAUAUUGACGGCCAAGAGGAGCUGGAAGAAACAAGGAAGGAUUCUCCCUGAGAGCCUCCAGAAGGAGUGUGGCCUGCUGAUACCUCAGUUUCACACUUCUGACUUGCAGAAUUGCAAGAGAAUACAUUUCUGUUCUUCGAAGCCACCAGGAUCUGGAAAGAUUUAAUGUGGUAAUUUGAAGACCAUCUCAGGGCUUCUACAAAACUUAAGUGUCUUGUUCCAACCUGACAAGCCCAAAGUAAAAAGAGAGUUCUGUUUUUAAAAAGAAUAAUCAAUGUGAAUUUUGGAGCAUGGAGUUAGCCUCAUUAAGAUUUAUAGAAAUCCAAAAGUUUUUGAGAAAAUUGGAUAUAAAUUUUAGAGCACGAAAUGAACCUCAGUAAGAUUUAUAGAAAACCUAUAAAAUGUUUUUUUCUUUUUUCAGCUACACCCGUGUUAUAUGGAGGUUCCCAGGCUAGGGGUUGAUUUGGGCCACAGCCACAGCAAUGCAGGAUCCGAGCCACGUCUUCCAUCUACACCACAGCUCAUGGCAACACCAGAUCCUUAACCCACUGUUCAAGGCCAGGGAUUGAAUCCACAACCUUCUGGUUCGUAGUUGGAUUCGUUUCCGCUGCGCCAUGAUGGUAACUCCAAAAUCCUACAAAAUCUUAAGGAUAAUUGUAUGAAUGAAUGAGCUGUCAGGUUGCCAGUUCAAAAUGAAAAGACAUUUCUGGACAUUUGAGUUUCUACUGGCAUGAAAGAGAUUGAGAAAACUACUUAACUACAAAUAUGGACCAUUCCUUAAGGAAAGCCAUCUCAGAGAGUGGAGUCAAGAGUGGGGAGAAGCAAAGCCAAAAACUGAUGAGAUGAUGCAUUAAAACAAGAAUUGGCAAACUAGGGCCCAUAAAACCAAUCCAGGCUGUUGUUGCAUAAGCCCACAUGCUAAGAGACCUGGCAACUUUAGCUUUUGUUUCUUGAGAGCCACCUGCCAUUACUAUCUGAUGUAAAGAGGAAAACCUGGCAGAUGAGUGUCCAAGGGACAGAGAGACCCAGCCUGCUCUCAGCCAUUCCAGCAACCCCAGUGGAGGCACCAGCCCAGUGAGUGAAAUUCCUUUCCAUCGUACCACUUCAGCUGAGCUGCCCCACCCAACAUCACGGAGUAGAGACAAGCUGUUCUGAGUCCUGUCCAAAUUACAAAACCAUGAGCAAAUAAAUGGUUGUUUAUGUUUG
rnacentral:lncRNA from 1 species